UACAGAGGGGCGAAGCGUUAUUCGGAAUUAUUGGGCGUAAAGGGCGCGUAGGCGGUUUUUAAGUUCGGAUGUGCAAUCCCCGACGCUCAACUUGGGAACGUGCAUCCGAUACUGCCAUGCUAGAGAACUGAAGAGGAGUGUAGAAUUCUCGGUGUAGCAGUGAAAUGCGUAGAUAUCGAGAGGAAUACCAACGGCGAAGGCAGCACUCUGGGCAGUUUUCUGACACUGAGGCACGAAGGCUA
rnacentral:rRNA from 1 species